GAUGAACGCUAGCGGCAGGCUUAAUACAUGCAAGUCGAGGGGCAGCACGGUUAGCAAUAACUGGUGGCGACCGGCGCACGGGUGCGUAACACGUAUACAAUCUACCUUAAACAGGGGGAUAGCCUUUCGAAAGAGAGAUUAAUACCCCGUAAUAAAUUGAACGGCAUCGUUUGAUUUUGAAAGCUCCGGCGGUUUGAGAUGAGUAUGCGUCUGAUUAGCUAGUUGGUGAGGUAACGGCUCACCAAGGCGACGAUCAGUAGGGGAUCUGAGAGGACUAACCCCCACACUGGUACUGAGACACGGACCAGACUCCUACGGGAGCAGCAGUAAGGAAUAUUGGUCAAUGGAGGCAACUCUGAACCAGCCAUGCCGCGUGCAGGAUGACGGCCCUAUGGGUUGUAAACUGCUUUUAUACAAGAGAAAACCCUGGUACGUGUACCAGGUUGAUAGUAUUGUAAGAAUAAGCAUCGGCUAACUUCGUGCCAGCAGCCGC
rnacentral:rRNA from 1 species